AUUGAACGCUGGCGGCAGGCCUAACACAUGCAAGUCGAGCGGAUGAAGGGAGCUUGCUCCUGGAUGCAGCGGGGGACGGGCGAGUAAGGCAUAGGAAGAUGCCUGGUAGUGGGGGAUAAGGUAAGGAAAGGGGAGCGAAUAUCGCAUAGGACAUGAGGGAGAAAGGGGGGGAUCAUAGGAGAUAAAGGGACUAGAUGAGACUAGGUUGGAUUAGCUAGUUGGUGGGGUAACGGCCUACCAAGGCGACGAUCCGUAACAGGUCUGAGAGGAUGAUCAGUCACACUGGAACUGAGACACGGUCCAGACUCCUACGGGAGGCAGCAGUAGGGAAUCUUCCACAAUGGGCGAAAGCCUGAUCCAGCCAUGCCGCGUGUGUGAUGAAGGUCUUCGGAUUGUAAAGCUCUUUUAGUUGGGAAGAAGAUCAGUGUGUUAAUCCCUUGCUGUCUUGACGUUACCAACAGAAUAAGCCCCGGCUAACUUCGUG
rnacentral:rRNA from 1 species